rnacentral:rRNA from 1 species
UCGGAACAUACCCUAGAGUGGGGAUAACGUAGCGAAAGUUACGCUAAUACCGCAUACGCACUAUGGUGGAAAGCAGGGGAUCGCAAGACCUUGCGCUCAUGGAGUGGCCGAUGUCAGAUUAGCUUGUUGGUGGGGUAAAAGCCUACCAAGGCGACGAUCUGUAGCUGGUCUGAGAGGACGACCAGCCACACUGGAACUGAGACACGGUCCAG